rnacentral:misc_RNA from 1 species
AGUCAAUGGAAGCAAUGUCUG